AAAACUCUAAGCGGUGGAUCACUCGGCUCAUGGGUCGAUGAAGAACGCAGCAAACUGUGCGUCAUCGUGUGAACUGCAGGACACAUGAACAUCGACAUUUUGAACGCAUAUCGCAGUCCAUGCUGUUAUGUACUUUAAUUAAUUUUAUAGUGCUGCUUGGACUACAUAUGGUUGAGGGUUGUAAGACUAUGCUAAUUAAGUUGCUUAUAAAUUUUUAUAAGCAUAUGGUAUAUUAUUGGAUAAAUAUAAUAAUUUUUAUUCAUAAUAUUAAAAAAUAAAUGAAAAACAUUAUCUCACAUUUGAAUGUGAAAAACGAAGAGAAAUAUUUUCUUUUUCAAUCAAAUAAUACUGAGAAAUGUCUAGCAUAAAAAAUUGAAAUAUUUUUCAUCUAGAAUUGUCUCUUAUUAAUGAUUCGGAAAUAGAAAAAUCUUGGUUAUGUUAUUAUUCUUCGUUGGUUCGUUAAAAAUGGAUAAAUAAAAACUUUGCAUACAAGAAUUAAUAAAAAUGUUAUAACGAAUUUAAUUAAAUGUUUUAUCAUUAUAUAUAAAGAAUUUAUGGCAAGAUAAAGUUAUAUACAACCUCAACUCAUAUGGGACUACCCCCUGAAUUUAAGCAUAUUAAUUAGGGGAGGAAAAGAAACUAACAAGGAUUUUCUUAGUAGCGGCGAGCGAAAAGAAAACAGUUCAGCACUAAGUCACUUUGUCUAUAUGGCAAAUGUGAGAUGCAGUGUAUGGAGCGUCAAUAUUCUAGUAUGAGAAAUUAACGAUUUAAGUCCUUCUUAAAUGAGGCCAUUUACCCAUAGAGGGUGCCAGGCCCGUAUAACGUUAAUGAUUACUAGAUGAUGUUUCCAAAGAGUCGUGUUGCUUGAUAGUGCAGCACUAAGUGGGUGGUAAACUCCAUCUAAAACUAAAUAUAACCAUGAGACCGAUAGUAAACAAGUACCGUGAGGGAAAGUUGAAAAGAACUCUGAAUAGAGAGUUAAACAGUACGUGAAACUGCUUAGAGGUUAAGCCCGAUGAACCUGAAUAUCCGUUAUGGAAAAUUCAUCAUUAAAAUUGUAAUAUUUAAAUAAUAUUAUGAGAAUAGUGUGCAUUUUUUCCAUAUAAGGACAUUGUAAUCUAUUAGCAUAUACCAAAUUUAUCAUAAAAUAUAACUUAUAGUUUAUUCCAAUUAAAUUGCUUGCAUUUUAACACAGAAUAAAUGUUAUUAAUUUGAUAAAGUGCUGAUAGAUUUAUAUGAUUACAGUGCGUUAAUUUUUCGGAAUUAUAUAAUGGCAUAAUUAUCAUUGAUUUUUGUGUUUAUUAUAUGCACUUGUAUGAUUAACAAUGCGAAAGAUUCAGGAUACCUUCGGGACCCGUCUUGAAACACGGACCAAGGAGUCUAACAUAUGUGCAAGUUAUUGGGAUAUAAACCUAAUAGCGUAAUUAACUUGACUAAUAAUGGGAUUAGUUUUUUAGCUAUUUAUAGCUAAUUAACACAAUCCCGGGGCGUUCUAUAUAGUUAUGUAUAAUGUAUAUUUAUAUUAUUUAUGCCUCUAACUGGAACGUACCUUGAGCAUAUAUGCUGUGACCCGAAAGAUGGUGAACUAUACUUGAUCAGGUUGAAGUCAGGGGAAACCCUGAUGGAAGACCGAAACAGUUCUGACGUGCAAAUCGAUUGUCAGAAUUGAGUAUAGGGGCGAAAGACCAAUCGAACCAUCUAGUAGCUGGUUCCUUCCGAAGUUUCCCUCAGGAUAGCUGGUGCAUUUUAAUAUUAUAUAAAAUAAUCUUAUCUGGUAAAGCGAAUGAUUAGAGGCCUUAGGGUCGAAACGAUCUUAACCUAUUCUCAAACUUUAAAUGGGUAAGAACCUUAACUUUCUUGAUAUGAAGUUCAAGGUUAUGAUAUAAUGUGCCCAGUGGGCCACUUUUGGUAAGCAGAACUGGCGCUGUGGGAUGAACCAAACGUAAUGUUACGGUGCCCAAAUUAACAACUCAUGCAGAUACCAUGAAAGGCGUUGGUUGCUUAAAACAGCAGGACGGUGAUCAUGGAAGUCGAAAUCCGCUAAGGAGUGUGUAACAACUCACCUGCCGAAGCAACUAGCCCUUAAAAUGGAUGGCGCUUAAGUUGUAUACCUAUACAUUACCGCUAAAGUAGAUGAUUUAUAUUACUUGUGAUAUAAAUUUUGAAACUUUAGUGAGUAGGAAGGUACAAUGGUAUGCGUAGAAGUGUUUGGCGUAAGCCUGCAUGGAGCUGCCAUUGGUACAGAUCUUGGUGGUAGUAGCAAAUAAUCGAAUGAGACCUUGGAGGACUGAAGUGGAGAAGGGUUUCGUGUGAACAGUGGUUGAUCACGAGUUAGUCGGUCCUAAGUUCAAGGCGAAAGCCGAAAAUUUUCAAGUAAAACAAAAAUGCCUAACUAUAUAAACAAAGCGAAUUAUAAUACACUUGAAUAAUUUUGAACGAAAGGGAAUACGGUUCCAAUUCCGUAACCUGUUGAGUAUCCGUUUGUUAUUAAAUAUGGGCCUCGUGCUCAUCCUGGCAACAGGAACGACCAUAAAGAAGCCGUCGAGAGAUAUCGGAAGAGUUUUCUUUUCUGUUUUAUAGCCGUACUACCAUGGAAGUCUUUCGCAGAGAGAUAUGGUAGAUGGGCUAGAAGAGCAUGACAUAUACUGUUGUGUCGAUAUUUUCUCCUCGGACCUUGAAAAUUUAUGGUGGGGACACGCAAACUUCUCAACAGGCCGUACCAAUAUCCGCAGCUGGUCUCCAAGGUGAAGAGUCUCUAGUCGAUAGAAUAAUGUAGGUAAGGGAAGUCGGCAAAUUAGAUCCGUAACUUCGGGAUAAGGAUUGGCUCUGAAGAUUGAGAUAGUCGGGCUUGAUUGGGAAACAAUAACAUGGUUUAUGUGCUCGUUCUGGGUAAAUAGAGUUUCUAGCAUUUAUGUUAGUUACUUGUUCCCCGGAUAGUUUAGUUACGUAGCCAAUUGUGGAACUUUCUUGCUAAAAUUUUUAAGAAUACUAUUUGGGUUAAACCAAUUAGUUCUUAUUAAUUAUAACGAUUAUCAAUUAACAAUCAAUUCAGAACUGGCACGGACUUGGGGAAUCCGACUGUCUAAUUAAAACAAAGCAUUGUGAUGGCCCUAGCGGGUGUUGACACAAUGUGAUUUCUGCCCAGUGCUCUGAAUGUCAAAGUGAAGAAAUUCAAGUAAGCGCGGGUCAACGGCGGGAGUAACUAUGACUCUCUUAAGGGAUAACUCCAAAAUCUGCCAGGGAGGUGCCGUCAGGUAUUAUGCUGCGCAUAAUGAACCUAAUUCUAUGGUGCGGUAAUCUACCACACUCUAUACGACUGGCCAGAACCGUCUUCAUCCCGAAGACGGUGACGGCGAAGCGACCGCAAGACUUUCGUCCAAUAUCAGUGCCUUCAGUCCUGGUAAGACAGCUAAAUGCAAUAUUGGCAACCCGGUUGAACUCAUCAAUCAAUUGGGACCCGCGCCAGCGGGGCUUCUUACCAACCGACGGAUGCGCCGAUAAUGCGACGAUAGUCGACUUAGUCUUGAGGCAUAGCCAUAAGCACUUUAGAUCUUGCUACAUCGCAAAUUUAGAUGUAAGCAAGGCAUUUGAUUCUCUAUCACAUGCAUCUAUAUACGACACCUUACGUGCUUAUGGUGCGCCAAAGGGCUUCGUUGACUACGUACAGAACACGUACGAGGGCGGUGGUACCAGUCUCAAUGGGGACGGUUGGAGUUCAGAGGAAUUCGUCCCUGCUAGAGGAGUGAAGCAGGGUGACCCUUUGUCUCCUAUUCUAUUUAACUUGGUAAUGGACAGGUUACUUAGAACCUUACCCAGCGAAAUUGGUGCCAAAGUCGGAAAUGCCAUUACUAACGCGGCCGCGUUUGCAGAUGAUUUGGUACUAUUUGCGGAAACUCGGAUGGGGCUUCAAGUAUUGUUGGACAAGACGUUGGAUUUUCUAUCUAUCGUCGGCCUCAAACUUAAUGCC
rnacentral:rRNA from 1 species